UAAGACAGAGGUGCCAAGCGUUAGGCGGAAUCACUGGGCUUAAAGCGUGUGUAGGCGGACCUAUAAGUACCUUGUGAAAUCCCACGGCUUAACCGUGGAACUGCUUGGUAUACUGUGGGUCUUGAGCCAACUAGGGGCUACCGGAACAAGUGGUGGAGCGGUGAAAUGCGUAGAUAUCACUUGGAACGCCAAUGGUGAAAACAGGUAGCUGGGGUUGUGCUGACGCUGAGACACGAAAGCCAGGGGAGCGAACGGGAUUAGAUACCCCGGUAGUCCUGGCUGUAAACGAUGUCGACUAGAUCGUAGUGCCUCUGACGGUAUUACGGUCGAAGCAAAAGUGCUAAGUCGACCGCCUGGGAAGUACGGUCGCAAGGCUA
rnacentral:rRNA from 1 species